CAGAAAAGGAGGAAACUGCAGGUCCCAAGAUAUGCAGUAGAUGAGGCUGAGUGUCCUGAACCAAUGGGAUGGGACUUCAGGGCCAGUCGGUGCUAGACACUGGGGAGAUCGUAUCUCCAAAGAGCUCAGCCAGUGAGAACACAACAGGACAGAGAAAGCAGUUUGGGAUAUAAGAAAAAUCUGUUUGGGGCCAAAUCCCUGCACCAGCCACCUUUGCCCUUUCUCUGGGCCAACACCGGAGUUUACAAGCUUUCCUGUCCCCGAGUGGAGGAAAAUUGCAGCUCUCUCCAUGGUGAACGGAGAUGACAGAGAAUCACUGGGAAGUCUCAGGGACUGUCUGCCAUGCGGUUUGAAGAUGGAUGGCAAAUCAUCUACUCCACCCUUAAUGGCCUGUGCUGUGGAAGAUACUGCUAACUCAGCACAGCCAUGCUUCCUACAACUCAUAAUGUCCAUCAAGGUCACAAAGCUGGUCCAGUAUCAUGUUGCCAGGAGUGGUCGUCACCAAAUCCCGGCUCUAGUGAUCUGUCCGAGGACUUGGCAGAAGAGCUAUCCUUGUCAUCAUAUUUCCAUAUUGAAGUCCAAAUGACUCUGCUAUUGAUUAUUAAAUAGCACCACGUGCUGUAUUUUAAAACAAAACUAAUGUAAAAACAAGGGAAGGAGUUGAUGUCUCUCUGGUGAGCUGGGUGACAUACACCUAUAAUCCCAGGCACAUGGGAAGAUAGGACAGAAAGAUUUUGGUUUCAAUGCCAGUGCAUGUUACAUAGUAAGACUCUGUCUUAAAGAGGAAGAAGAAGGAAGAGGAGGAAGAAGUAGAAGAAGAGGAGGAGGAGAAGGAGAAAAAAAACCCAAACAAGCAACAACAACCAAAACCAUGGUGGUCAGCCAGAUGGUUCAUCGGAUUAAAGUACUUGCCGUACAAGCUGAGUUUUAUUCCCAGAAUCUACAUUAGAAAGCCAGAUGUGGUGGCACACAUCUGUAAUCCCAACAUUUCUAUGAUAUAACUGGGAGGUGGGACAGGAGAAUCUCCUGAAGACUCAUGGGCUGGCUAGCCUGGAGCAAGCAAUAGCAGAGACAAGAGAGGCCCUUCCUCAGCAAGGGAGAAGGAGAGGAUCACUCCAGA
rnacentral:lncRNA from 1 species